rnacentral:rRNA from 1 species
AUGGACAUUUCUGUUGCUCAAUAUGUAGCUUUCUAUGGGGUCAUACUUGUGAUUGGAUGGCUAUUACACUGGGUAUACAGAUGGAUUAACCCAGUUUGCAACGGGGUUCUUCCUCCCGGCUCCAUGGGAGUGCCAAUUAUUGGUGAGACCUUUGACUUCCUCAAGGCAAGCCCUUCCUUGGACAUCCCAGACUUUUUGAAACUAAGGAUGAAAAGGUACGGCCCGGUUUUCAAGACAAGCUUGCUGGGUCAGCCUGUAGUUAUUUCCACCGACGCAGAGGUGAAUCGAUUUGUUUUUCAGCACGAGGACACCUUGUUCAGUAUCGGGUACCCUUGGGUAGUGACUAAAAUAUUCGGUGAGAAGAGCAUCCAAGCCUUCCAUGGCUCAAUCCACAAGUUCGUCCGUAGAUGCACCUUCACACUGCUCGGCCUCCGAAGCCUCAGAGAGGUGCUCCUUCCUGAGAUGGAGGGCGCCGUCAGGGAGCGCCUUGCUGCAUGGGCCACCAUGCCGAGCGUCGACGUGCGCGGCGGUGCGCCUGACCUUCUGUUCGAGAUGGUGACGAGGAGGUGCAUUGGUUUCGAUUCCACCAAGUCAAGACAACUGAGGGACAAGUUCGAUGCGCUUUUCUCAGGCUUGUUCUCCUUUCCAAUAUAUUUCCCAGGGACACCAUUUUACCGAUGCAUGCAGGCCAGGAAAAAUGUGCAGAAGAUACUACGGGAUACGUUGGCGGAGAGGUUAAGUACACCAGGGAAGAAACAUGGCGACCUCCUUGACGUAAUUGUCCAAGAGCUGCAGGGUGAAGGGCCAUUAAUAAGUGAGAGUUUUGCUGUUGAUUUGGUCUCCACGUUGUUGUUCUCCAGCGUCUUCACGUUAUCAGGAAUAAUCGCUGUAGCAUUCAAAUCACUCCAUGACAACCCGGACGUUGUCCAUGCCCUCCAGAAAGAGAACCCAGCUAUGCUCAAGGAUCGAAAGGGUGGGUGCUCUGGGCUCACAUGGGAGGAGUACAAGUCAUUAACAUUCACUAAUCAGGUGACCAAUGAGAUUAUUCGAAUAAGCAAUGCCGUAGUUGGAAUAUUCAGAAGAACUCUCACCGAUGUACAAGUCAACGGCUACACAAUUCCAGCCGGGUGGCAGGUCAUUGUGAACCCCAUGGCAGUUCAUCUCAACGAAGAAUUGUUCGAAGACCCACUAAAAUUUAACCCAUGGAGGUGGCUGGAUGAGUCAAAGCGCAACACAAUGUUGAAGAAUUUCUUGCCAUUCGGAGCAGGCAUCAGGGCAUGUCCUGCCGCAGAGUUUGUCAAGCUGUUUGUAACACUUACCCUCCAUAUUUUGGUGAUGGAGUAUAGAUGGGAAGAAAUCAAAGGAGCUGAUGCAUUUCGUAGCGCGGAUGUUAUGUUCCCACUGGGCUAUCACAUUCGACUUAGAACACAGGACGACAAAAUUAAUUGA